ACUUUCUCUGUCAAACUUUAUUAAACUGUAAUUGAUAUUCCCAUUUUGAUUAAAGAUAUAUUAAAUCAUGGUUUACAGGUUUUCAUCAUCAUAAAACAGUAUUACCAAAAUGGAUUGAUGUAAUUCUAGCCAGCAACACGAGGUAUUAACAUUUUAAGCAAAUCUAUACAGUUUCUUUUUUGGCGCCGAAUAAAACUUCUCAUGUUUGUAAUAAUUCUUUUGAGAAAUUAAACUACUUAAUAAGAAUCUGAAUGAAUCAUGC
rnacentral:lncRNA from 1 species